rnacentral:rRNA from 1 species
UUGAACGCUGGCGGCAUGCUUUACACAUGCAAGUCGAACGAGACCUUCGGGUCUAGUGGCGCACGGGUGCGUAACGCGUGGGAAUCUGCCCCUCGGUUCGGAAUAACAGUUAGAAAUGACUGCUAAUACCGGAUGAUGACGAAAGUCCAAAGAUUUAUCGCCGAGGGAUGAGCCCGCGUAAGAUUAGCUAGUUGGUAGGGUAAAGGCCUACCAAGGCGACGAUCUUUAGCUGGUCUGAGAGGAUGAUCAGCCACACUGGGACUGAGACACGGCCCAGACUCCUACGGGAGGCAGCAGUGGGGAAUAUUGGACAAUAGGCGAAAGCCUGAUCCAGCAAUGCCGCGUGAGUGAUGAAGGCCUUAGGGUUGUAAAGCUCUUUUACCAGGGAUGAUAAUGACAGUACCUGGAGAAUAAGCUCCGGCUAACUCCGU